UGAUGAGUGAAUAAGUGUCGGAGGGUCUCCCGCCCCUUCAGUGCCCGCAGCUAACGCUUUGAGCACUCCUCCUGGAGAGUACGACCCGCAAGGUUGAAACGCAAAGGAAUUGACGGGGGCCCCGCACAAGAGGUGGAGCAUGUGCUUUAAUUCGACGCAACGCCAAGACCCUUCCCAGCUCUUGACAUCCUUUGAGCACUCUAGCGAUAGAUCUUCCCCUUCGGGGGCAAAGUGACCGGUGGUGCAUGGUUGUCUUCAGCUCGUGUCGUGAGAUGUUGGAUUAAGUCGCGCAACGAGCGCAACCCUUAUUGUUAGUUGCCAUCAUUUAGUUGGGCACUCUAGCAAGACUGCCGGUGACAAACCGGAGGAAGGUGGGGAUGACGUCAAAUCAUCAUGCCCCUUAUGACCUGGGCUACACACGUGCUACAAUGGGAAGUACAACGAGUCGCGAAGUCGCGAGGCUAAGCUAAUCUCUUAAAGCUUCUCUCAGUUCGGAUUGUAGGCUGCAACUCGCCUACAUGAAGCCGGAAUCGCUAGUAAUCGCGGAUCAGCACGCCGCGGUGAAUACGUUCCCGGGCCUUGUACACACCGCCCGUCACACCACGAGAGUUUGUAACACCCGAAGUCGGUGAGGUAACC
rnacentral:rRNA from 1 species